rnacentral:rRNA from 1 species
AUUGAACGCUGGCGGCAGGCCUAACACAUGCAAGUCGAGCGAGCGGCGGACGGGUGAGUAAUGUCUGGGAAACUGCCUGAUGGCGGGGGAUAACUACUGGAAACGGUAGCUAAUACCGCAUACCAUCAGAUGUGCCCAGAUGGGAUUAGCUGGUGGGUGGGGUAAUGGCUCACCUAGGCGACGAUCCCUAGCUGGUCUGAGAGGAUGACCAGCCAAACUGGAACUGAGACACGGUCCAGACUCCUACGGGAGGCAGAAGUGGGGAAUAUUGCACAAUGGGCGCAAGCCUGAUGCAGCCAUGCCGCGGGUAUGAAGAAGGCCUUCGGGUUGUAAAGUACUUUCAGCGAGGAGGCGUUACUCGCAGAAGAAGCACCGGCUAACUCCGUGCCAGCAGCCGCGGUAAUAC